AGCAUAUUAGUAAGCAAAGGAAAAGAAACUAACAAGGAUUUCCUAAGUAAUGGCGAAUGAAUAGGAAUAAAGUCUCAAAAUUAAUCUUAGUGACAGAUAGUUGCUAAUGACAUGUAUUUGACUCUUUUAAACGACAAGUAGACACUGCUCAUUAGAGUACGAAGGAAAGCGUAGAAUCAGAGAGGGUGAUAAUCCCAUGUAAAAGCGUGUUGCUUAAAGUCGGAAAAGUACAACGAAGUCGGAUUGUUUGGGAUUGCAAUCUAAAUAUUAGGUGGUAGACUCCAUCAAAGGCUAAAUAUGAGCGAAAGACCAAUAGCGAAUAAGUAUCGUGAGAGAAUGAUGAAAAGUACUCUGUAAAGAGAGUUAAAAGUGUUUGAAAUUGCAAAGAGGUAAGCAUUAUAAACAAUGACUUAAAAUCUUAAAGUUAAGUUCAAUGACAUUGAAUUAAAGCAAUGACAUUUGAUCCAUUGAGUUUUCGAAUUCAUUGGACAAUUGCCAAGUGCAGAUAGUUGAAAACGAUAAAGCAGUAGGACUGCAAAAUAACUUAAGUGUUUAUAAUGACCCGUCUUGAAUCACGGACCAAGGAGUGCAUAAAGCAUGCGAGUCAAAUGGACAAGUUGAAUCCAUAGUUGGCGAAAUGAAAGUGAUUAUUGAAUUGAUAGUAUUGAGCAUGUUUAAUGCGACCCGAAAAAUGGUGAACUAUGCUUGCAUAAGGUAAAGCCAUAUGAAAGUGUGGUGGAGGCUUUUAGCGAUUCUGACGUGCAAAUCGAUCGUAAAAUGUGAGUAUAGGGGCGAAAGACUAAUCGAACCAUUUAGUAGCUGGUUUCCGCCGAAGUUCCCCUC
rnacentral:rRNA from 1 species